GGCUCGGUGGUGGACGGUCCACACCAGCUUUUUGUAAAAAGAAAUGCAGUCCGGCCAGUGCAAGCAGGAGGAGCCCGUUCAAUUCGGGCUCGAGCCA